rnacentral:tRNA from 1 species
GAGGGCACAGCUCAGUGGUAGAGCGCCUGCUUAGCAUGCAUGAGGUCCUGGGUUCAAUCCCCAGCACCUCCA